rnacentral:lncRNA from 1 species
GCAAACGGAAAGACUACAUCUCCCAGGCCGCCACGCUUUCCAGCUGGAGUCCUAGGGCGCUGACUGCUCCCCAGUUUCCGUAGGGAAGCGCUGGGCUACCGCGGCUAUUGUGCGUCGCGCUCUCGCCCUCCUCUUCCCGCUGCAGUGUCUAUGGAGCGAGGCUACGUUUCAUUGCCGCCCUGGCUUAACCCUUCCGGCGCCUAAAAGGACGGCCGGCCGGCCGGCUCCCUUGCACCAGGAAGAAGUCUUAGCAGCCAGCGGGCCCUGGUCAGGAAACUCUAAGAACCAUGGGUCAUCCCCCGCUGGAGUUCAGCGACUGCUACCUGGACAGCCCCGAUUUCCGCGAGAGGCUCAAGUGUUAUGAGCAGGAACUGGAG